CGUGUAGGCGGCCUGAUAAGUCAGACGUGAAAGCCCGCGGCUUAACCGCGGGACUGCGUUUGAAACUGACAGGCUUGAGGAUCGGAGAGGGCAGUGGAAUUCCCAGUGUAGCGGUGAAAUGCGUAGAUAUUGGGAGGAACACCAGUGGCGAAGGCGACUGCCUGGACGACACCUGACGCUGAGGCGCGAAAGCUAGGGGAGCAAACGGGAUUAGAUACCCCGGUAGUCCUAGCCGUAAACGAUGGGUACUAGGUGUGGGAGGUAUCGACCCCUUCCGUGCCGCAGUUAACACAAUAGGUACCCCGCCUGGGGAGUACGGCCGCAAGGUUGAA
rnacentral:rRNA from 1 species